rnacentral:lncRNA from 1 species
GAGAGAAGUAAAAUAUGAUGUUGAUUGGUGGACCUUCAAAUGCCAACACAGGAAUUUCUGCAGGGUCCUUGGUGCUGUGUCACAGCUGUUAUCAAGAAUUCAUGCCUAUAUUCUCUCAUCCACAGAACCCACCAAGGGAGCAUGAAGCCAAGCGGAAAUGCUGGUGUACAGUCACCUAUGAGAACCAAAAUAAGGCCAGCCAGAACACUGUCAAGGUCAUGGCAGAGCCCAGGCAUCCCUUGUUAACAUCCAUCUCUGAGUGAGCAUUAUGCAGAGAAGUUUUCCCCACUCCCAAUUCCUCUUCCAGAUUUAAAGAAAAAGCUAUUCGACUGCAGAAGGAACUUGAGCCUUUCCUCAUAGGGGAGAUGACCAUCUUUGACCUUACCUGUUCUAGCUAUGAGGCAAAAAUCUUUCUAAAUAGAUACACAUCAAUCACCACGCCAUAGCUGCUUGCUUAACUCAGGAUUACAUCAUUAAAAAUCGUUCCCUGUUCUCAGUAAGCCAUCACUGGAUAUGGUAGGGGAGCCAAGAAUUAUUGACCAACUGAAAAAUGACAGGGCCCCAUCAAAUCUAUUUGACUUGUAUUUCCCGGUUCCAAAGGACAGAAGGCCCUUUAUUCUAUGACGCAAUGGAAUGGGACAUUUGAAAGCCAGCAUCCAAUCACAACAUAAGGGCACUUGGAAGAUCCUAAAGUCUGAAGCUAGCACUGAGCUACUUUUCCAGUGGAUAUCAGGCCACGUAAGAUGCUUGCUCCUGCUUUGCCUUCCACCAUGAUUGGAAGCCUACUGAGGCCUCCCCAGAAGCAGAAGCUGCCAUGCUUCCUGUACAGCCUACAGAACCGUGAGCCAAUUAAACCUGUUUUCUACAUUAGUGUCACUAAAGUUGGUAUACAAUCCCCUCCACUACUAAAUUUGACUGGCUUUUUUAAAAAAGAGAAAAAAGAACAACAACAACAAAACUAUUUUCUUUAUAAAUUACCCUGUCUCAGAUAUUUCUUUGUAACAGUGUGAAAACAGACUAAUACAUGAGGUCUUUAAAAGGUAAUCAAAUUAAGAUAAGGUCACUAAGGUGGGCCCUAAUUUAAUAUGGCUGGGGUCCUUAUGAGAAAUGAUUAGACCAUCCUGGCUAACACGAUGAAACCCCGUCUCUACUAAAAAUACAAAAAAUUAGCCAGGCGUGGUGCUGCCUGUAGUCCCAGCUACUCAGGAGGCUGAGGCAGGAGCAUGGUGUGAACCCAGGAGGUGGAGCUUGCAGUGAGCCGAGAUCACACCAUUGCACUCCAGCCUGGGGACAGAGGGAGACUCUGCCUCAAAAAAAUAAAAAAUAAAAAUAAAUAAAAGAAGAGAUUAGAACACAGACUCAUAAAGGGAAGACCACGGGAAGACACAGGGAGAAGGCAGCCAUCUACAAGUCAAGGAGAGAGGCCUCAGAGGACACCAACCCCACUGACACUUUGAUCUUGGCCUUCCAGCCUCCAGAACUGUGAGAAAAUAAAUUUCUGUUGCUUAAGCCAACCAGUCUGUGGUACUUCGUUAUAGCAACCCCAGCAAACUAAAGGUGUAAAGCAUGCAGUUUUCACCAUUAAAUAUGUUGGCUGUAGUUUUUUGUUUUUUUGAGAGAGUCUCACCCUGUCACCCAGGCUGGAGUGCAAUAGCACAAUCUCAGCUCACUGCAACCUCUGCCUCCAGGGUUCAAGCGAUUCUCCUGCCUCAACCUCCCAAGUAUCUGGGACUACAGGCAUGCACCACCACGCUCAGCUAAUUCUUGUAUUUUUAGUAAAGGUGGGGAUUCACAAAGUUGGCCAGGCUGGUCUUGAACUCCUGAGCUCAAAUGAUCUGCCCAUCUCGGCCUCCCAAAGUGCUAAGGUUAUAGGCUUGAGCCACCAUGCCCAGCCAGCUGUAGUCUUUUUGUAAAUAUUCUUUAUCAAAUUGAAGAAGUCCUUCUCUAGUCCUAUUUUUCUGAGUGUUUUUAUCACAAAUGGGUGCUAAAUUUUGUCAAUUGUUCUUUCUCCAUCAAUAUACUUAUGUGGCCAGAUGCAGUGGCUCACGCCUGUAAUCCCUGCACUUUGGGAGGCCAAGGUGGGCUGAUCACUUGAGGUCAGGAGUUUGAGACUGGCCUUACCAACGUGGUGAAACCCUGUCUCUACUAAAAAUACAAAAAUUAGCCAGGCAUGGUGGUGCAUGCCUGUAAUCCCAGCUACUCAGGAGGCUGAGGCAGGAGAAUCGCUUGAACCCAGGAGGUGGAGGUUGCAGUGAGCCUAGAUUGCACCACUGCACUCCAGGCUAGGCAACAGAGACUCCAUCUCCAAAAAAAAAAAAAUUAUGUGAUUUUUCUUCUUUAGGAUGUUAAUAUAAUAGAUUAUAUUUGAUUAAUUUGAAAUAUUGAACUAGCCUUGCAUCUCUGGAAUAAAUCUCAUUUGGUCAUGGCAUGUAAUUAUUUUUGUAAAUUGUCUAAUUCUGUUUGCUAAUAUUUUGUUAAGAAAUUUUGCAUCUAUAUGCAUGGGGGAUGUUGGUCUGUGGUUUUCUUUUGGGUAUUGUCUUUGAUUUUGGUGUGAGGUGUGAGAAGUGUUUCCUCUUCUAUUUUCUGACAGAAAUUGCAUAAAAUUGGUGUUACUUCUUUAAAUGUUUGGUAGAAUUUCCCAAUGAAGUUAUCCAGACUUAGAAAUUUCUUUAUAAGAAAUUUUUUAUUUAAUUUUGGUUUUAAAAUUAUGACUCAGUUGAUUUAAUAAUUAAAGGGCUGGGCGCAGUGGCUCACGCCUGUAAUCCUAGCACUUUGGGAGGCCAAGGUGGGUGGAUUACCUGAGGUCAGGAGAUUAAGACCAGCCUGGCCAACAUGGCGAAACCCCAUCUGUACUAAAAAUACAAAAAUUAGCCGGAUGUGGUGGCAGGCACCUAUAAUCUCAGCUAUCAAGAGGCUGAGGUAGGAGAAUCGCUUGAGCCCAGGGAGUAGAGGUUGCAAUGAGCCGAGAUCACACCAAUUCACUCCAGCCUAAGCGAAAGAGCGAAACUCCAUCUCAAAUUAUGAUUCUAGGCUGGGAGCGGUGGCUCACGCCUGUAAUCCCAGCACUUUGGGAGUCCGAGGCAGGAGGAUCACGAGGUCAGGAGUUCAAGACCAGCCUGGCCAAGAUGGUGAAACCCUGUCUCUAUUAAAAAUACAAAAAUUAGCCAGAUGUGGUGGCUAGUGCCUGUAAUCCCAGCUACUCGGGAGGCUGAGGCAGAAACUGCUUGAACCCGGGAGGUGGAGGUUGCAGUGAGCUGAGAUCACACCACUGCACUCCAGCCUGGGUGACAGAGCGAGACUCCAUCUCAAAAAAUAAAUAAAUAAAAUAAAUAUAAUUUAAAAAUAAAUAAAUAAAAAUAAAAUAAUAAUUAUAGGAGUAUUCAAAUUAUCUGAAUUGUGAUAGUUGUGUUUUUGAGAAAUGGUCAUUUCAUCUAAGUUGUAAAAUUUAUGUGUGUGGAGUUGUGCCUUGUAUUGUCUAUUUAUCCUACUCAUUUUUAAAUAUGCUGAUCUAUUUAAUUUUUGUUCCCAGAUGGAAAAGAGCUUUAUUGUUUUCAUUACAGUAAAAAAUAGAACAUACCCAUAGAAAAAUAUAUAUAUAAUAUAGAAUAUUUCCCAUAAAAGGAAGUAAAUCUAACCAAUCAAAGAUGUUAACAUUCUAGUGAAGAACCUUUCAGACAUCCAUCUAUCCACCCACACAAAUACAUGAAUGUAUACAUAGAUAUGUAUUUUAUAUAAAUAGGAUCAUAUUAUACAUGUUCAUCUGUAACCAUCCCUUUCAUUCGACAAAUCUAUGUCAGUGUAGGUCUACACCAUCAUUUAUGAUGACCACAAGAUAUUCCAUUGUGUGAAUAUAUUAUAAUUUACUUAACCCUAUCUGAUGUUGAUUGUCAAAUGGCUAAGUUGUUUCUAGUCUUUUAUAUAAACAACACUGUGGGUGAAUAUCCUUGUUCAUUUAGCUACAGAUGUGUAGCUAACUCUUUAGAAUUAUUUCCUAAGAGAAAGAUUACUGGUACGUUCAUUGAAAAUUCUGAUCAAUGUUACAUAGAUAUAUUAUGUAGGAAAAAGAAGAAGAAAGAAGAAGAAGAAAAGAAGGGGAAGAAGGGGAGGAGGAGAUGAAGGAGAAGAAGAAGAGGAAGAAGAGGGAGGAGGAGGAGGAAGAAGGAGGAGGAGGAGGUGGAGGAGGAGGAGGAGGAGAAGGAAAAACUCUGAUACAUAUGAUCAAACUACAUUCCACAAAAAUAUAUUACCCUAUCAUCACCUUGCAAACACUGUACUUUUUUUCCCCUCCUUGCCAAAAUAAUUUGUGAAAAAUAAUCAGGUUUUUUUGGUAAUACUGUAGUUGUUGUUUUGCUUUUCUUUGAUUACUUAUGAGAUUGAUGUGUUUAUGGGGUUUUUUUGUUUUCUUUUGUCUUGUCAUUUGUGUUUCCUCUUCAAGCACUACCUAGAAGCAGAAGGUUUCAUUAGGCACUCUAGAGAGGAUGUCCCCAACCCCCAGGCUGCAGACCCAUACAGUCUGUGGCCUGUUAGGAACCAGGCGGCACAGCAGGAGGUGAGCAUGGGCAACUAAGCAUUACCGCCUGAUCUCUGCCUCCUGUCAGAUCAGUGGCAGCAUUAGAUUCUCAUAGGAGCACAAACCCUAUUGUGAACUGCAUGUGCAAGGGAUCUAGGUUGCAUACUCCUUAUGAGAAUCUAAUGCCUGAUGAUCUGAGUUGGAACAGUCUCAUCCCCAAACCAUUCCCCCACCCCGUCCGUGGAAAAAUUGUCUUCCAUUAAACCAGUCCCUGGUGCCAAACAGGUUGGGGAUCGCAGCUAUAGAGGGCUGAUUUAAGAAGCCCUCUUGGCCAGCCACCAAGCCCAGCCCUCAUGUUUUCUAAUUUUACUGAAAAGUAUUCUUAUAUCCUUGAUAUAAAAGAAUAAAAUAAAAACCUAGUUGGGGAUGGAUGGGUGAUGAUGGAUUGCAUGACAAUGUGAAUAUAUUUAAUGCCACUAACUGUACACUUAAAAGUUGUUAAAAAGGUAAAUUUUAUGUUUUAUAUAUUUUACCAUAGUUUUUUAAACCCAGUUGGGGAAGAUAGAUAUAGAUAUUUUUGCAUACAAACAAGAACUUUGACUUCAUUAGUUUAUGACAGAAGAAUUGACUCUCAGUCUACUCUCCUUAAAAGAAAAAAAAUGAGAUUAAAGAAAGCGUGGCCAAUAUUCCACUUUCAUGUUCCAUACACUAAGAAAUAUGAGCUUCUUAAAAAUUUAAAUCUAUCCUUGUUUUAUUUUGAGAUGUAUAAAAUAAUAAAUAAUAUCAUCAAUAAACUUAAUAAGUAACGGGUACAUUAGAGAAACAUAAAUAAAUGAUAUCCUCAUCUUAAAUACUUUGCUUAUAUGCCACAAAUUUACUUCCAAAAAUAAUGAUACUACAUGUAAGUUCAUUUAUAUAUCAAACUAUGUUUGAGACAAAAUAAUUUAUCAAAUCUUCUGGGAUGAUGGCUUUUUUUUUUUUUUUUUUUGAGACAGAGUUUCACUCUUUGUUGCCCAGGCUGGAGUGCAACGGCGUGAUCUCAACUUACUGAAGCCUCCAUCUCCCGGGUUCAAGUGAUUCUCCUGCCUCAGCUCCCGAGUAUCUGGGAUUACAGGCAUGCACCACCACGCCUGGCUAAUUUUGUAGUUUUAGUAGAGACAGAGUUUCUCCAUGUUGGUCAGGCUGGUAUUGAACUCCUGGCCUCAGGUGAUCUGACUGCCUCGGCCUCCCGAAGUGCUGGGAUUGAUGGCUUUUAAAGUUCCUUUUAUGCUUCGGUUCUAGUUCAAAAGGCUUAGAGGUCCUCUUCCUGCCACUUGCUGAUGUUUUUCGGUAACGUUAUUCAGUAAUUUGAUCACAUUUCAUUAUUGACUGUCAUUUUCAUUAACACCUACUAAUAUUUCCCCAGCUUCUGUUAGAGACUGACUACCUGGCUUGGUGACACAGGUCCUGUGGCCAGAUCAUUGAGUCAUCACAUGCAACUAGGACCUUCCAAUAGUCUAGGGAACCACAGUUGAAUUGUGGAAAAGUCUGGAAAAGGACUAAGAGAAGACCUUGCCCUUGCUUUGGGGGCUCUGAUGCCCAAGUUCUCCUGUGGAACCUCUGCUCUCUUCACAUAUACACAGAACCUUCCUUACAGUGCUGGGACUCAGGAAGAAAGGAUUCUUAGGGGUAUGGAAAGGGGGUUGGAAGUGGAGUCUUCUGCUCCUGCUAUUUGCCUGGUACCCACGGUCUUCAGGUAAGAGGUCGCUGAGGAGAUAGCAGAGUCCAAUUCCAUUCUGACCACCUCCCCUUACAACCCAUUCUCCACCCACAUGCCAAAUGUUUUAUGUUUCAUAUUUUAUGUUUCUUGAUUUGCUUUAUAUUUAAAAACACAAAUCAGGUGUAGUCAUUCCUGUGUUGCUUACCCUCCAAUGACUUUCCAUUGCUUUUAGAAUGAAAUCCAAACUCCUAUGACAGCUGUGACCUGGCUCCUGCCACACUGACUCCCCUUUCUGUCCUAGGGAAUGUCACCAAAUGCUUUCCCAGCUCCAGCUCUUCCUAAAGGUAGGCUCAUUCUCACCCUCCAGUUCCAAUUCAAAUAUCACUCGCUCUCUAUCACAUUGUCUUAUUUACUUCCUUCACAGCACUGACCACACUCUAUAUCUAUCGUGUUUAUUUUUAUUUUUUUGGAUUAUUGUCUGUCUCUCCUCCCUCAAUUAGAAUGUAAGUUCCAUACAGACACCUUUGUCUGUCUUGUGUAUUGCAUCCCCAGCAUCUAGCACUGUGCCUGGAAUGUGCUAAGUGAGCAACAUGAGUGUUUGUGGAAUGACCCCUAUACCCUCCACCCCAAAUCAGCAUAAUUGUCCAUAAAACUGAGCUUCCCAAUACAUACGAACUUGUGGAAAAACCAGUACCUUGCAAUCCUAGAAUUUAUAAUCUAAGGUUCAUUCUUAAAGAAAAAGACAAAUAGUCAAUGUGCUAGAAGAGUGUCUCUGUCCUACCCCCAAAACAGAUAAAAAAAAUCAAGAUGAACUUACCAUUUUGAAAGGAAAACACAUAGUGGCCUAUACCCACAUCUUCCCAGGUGUGGAAAAGACCAGAUAUUUGCUGAACUUCUAUGUAGGCUCUAUCCUCAGGAAGAUGUAACUGGAAUGUAGAGAUGUAAAGCAUAAACCUCUUUUGAGUUGUACUCAGAGACAUGGUUUGAAUGGAGUCUAGAAAAAUGCACACGAGAAGCAAGAAUCCACCUGUGUGUAUCAAACACUGUACACUCUAGGGGAAAGAAUAUCUGUUUUUAAAUAACCUUCUUUAAACAUAAUUAUUCCCAAAUGCCGAAAAGAAAUCCUUUCAUAGCGAGCACACCAAUAGGAACUGUGACACGCCCAGCUGGCUCCCGUGCAGUCCCCUCCUGCUCUUCCUUCUAGCCUGUUGACCCAGGCACUACAGCCAGCGGUAGCUUCUCCCCAGUUGUUCUAGACAAGCUCCUUCCAAGGAAGCUGUAAGUUACCCAGGAGGUGGGGUGCUGGAAGUGAGGAUGGUUUUUUCUCUCUUUUUUGAAUGAUUGAAUGUCUUAAAGUGAGACUGUACUCAUCUAUUAUUUAGAUCAAUUUUUUAAAAUAAUAAGAGAACAUAAUUUUACUUAAAAAACAAACCUCUAGCUUGCCUUCUCAGAAUGAGACUCUCUGUCUUCCUGGUUGACAACCACUUGAAAAACAAUUUGGUAAGUUUUUUUUUUCUU